rnacentral:rRNA from 1 species
GCGUGUAGCAGUGAAAUGCGUAGAUAUGCGGAGGAACACCGAUGGCGAAGGCAGCCUCCUGGGAUAACACUGACGUUCAUGCACGAAAGCGUGGGGAGCAAACAGGAUUAGAUACCUUGGUAGUCCACGCCCUAAACGAUGUCAACUAGCUGUUGGGCCCUUCGGGCCUUGGUAGCGCAGCUAACGCGUGAAGUUGACCGCCUGGGGAGUACGGUCGCAAGAUUAAAACUCAAAGGAAUGGACGGGGCCCCGCACAAGCCAUGGAUGAUGUGGAUUAAUUCGAUGCAACGCGAAAACCCUCACCUACCCUUGACAUGUCUGGAAUGCCGAAGAGAUUUGGCAGUGCUCGCAAGAGAACCGGAACACAGGCGCGGCAUGGCUGUCGUCAGCUCGUGUCAUGAGAGGUUGGGUUAAGUCCCGCAACGAGCGCAACCCUUGUCAUUAGUUGAUACGAAAGGGCACUCUAAGGGGACUGCCGGUGACAAACCGGAGGAAGGGGGGGAUGACGUCAAGUCCUCAUGGCCCUUAUGGGUAGGGCUUCACCCGUCAUACAAUGGUCGGGACAGAGGGUCGCCAACCCGCGAGGGGGAGCCAAUCCCAGAAACCCGAUCGUAGUCCGGAUCGCAGUCUGCAACUCGACUGCGUGAAGUCGGAAUCGCUAGUAAUCGCGGAUCAGCAUGUCGCGGUGAAUACGUUCCCGGGUCUUGUACACACCGCCCGUCACACCAUGGG